AGAGUUUGAUCAUGGCUCAGAUUGAACGCUGGCGGAAUGCUUUACACAUGCAAGUCGAGCGGCAGCACGGGGCAACCUGGUGGCGAGCGGCGAACGGGUGAGUAAUAUAUCGGAACGUAUCCUGAGAUGGGGGAUAGCCCGGCGAAAGCCGGAUUAAUACCGCAUACGAUCGAGAGAUGAAAGUGGGGGACCGCAAGGCCUCACGUCUUGGGAGCGGCCGAUAUCAGAUUAGCUAGUUGGUGAGGUAAAGGCUCACCAAGGCUCCGAUCUGUAGCUGGUCUGAGAGGAUGAUCAGCCACACUGGAACUGAGACACGGUCCAGACUCCUACGGGAGGCAGCAGUGGGGAAUUUUGGACAAUGGGGGCAACCCUGAUCCAGCCAUUCCGCGUGAGUGAAGAAGGCCUUCGGGUUGUAAAGCUCUUUUGUCCGGGAAGAAACGGUUUCACCUAAUACGUGAGACUACUGACGGUACCGGAAGAAUAAGGACCGGCUAACUACGUGCCAGCAGCCGCGGUAAUACGUAGGGUCCAAGCGUUAAUCGGAAUUACUGGGCGUAAAGCGUGCGCAGGCGGUCGUGUAAGCCAGAUGUGAAAUCCCCGGGCUUAACCUGGGAAUGGCAUUUGGGACUGCACGGCUAGAGUACGGCAGAGGGGACUAGAAUUCCUGGUGUAGCAGUGAAAUGCGUAGAUAUCAGGAGGAAUACCGAUGGCGAAGGCAGGUCCCUGGGUCGAUACUGACGCUCAUGCACGAAAGCGUGGGGAGCAAACAGGAUUAGAUACCCUGGUAGUCCACGCCCUAAACGAUGUCAACUGGUUGUUGGGGAAUUCAUUUCCUUAGUAACGAAGCUAACGCGUGAAGUUGACCGCCUGGGGAGUACGGUCGCAAGAUUAAAACUCAAAUGAAUUGACGG
rnacentral:rRNA from 1 species